AACUGGAUUGACAACGUCAAAGUAGCUGAUAAUCCUGUUCUAACAGAUUCUGACCUAAUGGUAAAAACAAAAAUUUAGUUAUUUAGUAGAAAUUAAUAAAAAGGCACAAUAAUUCAGUACCUACUUGACCUAUCUACUUACCUACAGGUACCUAUCUUACACAAAUGGUUAGUUUUAUUCUAAAACUUUAAGAUAGGAAAGUACCUAUCUUUUAUCAUUGAUAAUGGUAGAAUGGAUUUAUUGUGGUGGGAAUACCUAAUCAUAGCUAUCAGUGUUUUUAUCGGAGGCGUGUUCCUUAGCUUCUUCGUAAGGAUACUGAACGAAGCACGGUUAGACGAAAGAUUUAAUAGGCUCCAGCAAAAGACAUCGACAAAUCGAUCAACUCAAGUGCAAGAAUCAUCGCCAAUGGAACCAAUAUCACUAAGAGAUGACCAAUCAGCUAAUUCGGCGAAAGCUUCCACCAUUUAUAAUAAAGAAGAUUUAAAAACUAAAAAUUCGAAGUCGAAUCUAUCAAGCCUUGAUUCAUCAAAAGAAAAUUCCAAGUUAAAAUUUCUGGGCACAAUCUAUAAUAAUGAAAAUAAUGUAUCAAAAAAUAAGGAUAAUUGUAUGACGAACGGAUAUAACAGUAAUUUAAACAGAAAGCAAAGCAGUAAAGAAUUGGUUCGCGCUUGUAAUGAUAAAGAGCUAAAAAUAUGGAUUUCAGAUUUGUUAUUAAGUCAUGUUAAUAAUAAUGCGAUAAAAAAUA